GAUAAGAACGUAGCGAAAUGCGAUACUUGGUGUGAAUUGCAGAAUCCCGCGAAUCAUCGAGUUUUUGAACGCAAGUUGCGCCCGAAGCCAUUCGGCCGAGGGCACGUCUGCCUGGGUGUCACGCAUCGUUGCCCCCCCAAACUCCGGUUCGGGCAGGGCGGAAGUUGGCCUCCCGUGCGUGCCUGCGCGCGCGGUUAGCCCAAAAGCGAGUCCUCGGCGACGAGCGCCACGACAAUCGGUGGUUUUUUUACCCUCGUUCCUCGUCGUGCGUGCCCCGUCGCCCGAACGCGCUCUUGCGACCCUUACGCGUCGCCUCGGCGGCGCUCCCAACGCGACCCCAGGUCAGGCGGGACUACCCGCUGAGUUUAAGCAUAUCAAUAAGCGGAGGA
rnacentral:misc_RNA from 1 species